GACGAACGCUGGCGGCGUGCUUAACACAUGCAAGUCGAACGGAAAGGCCCUUCUUUUGUGGGGUGCUCGAGUGGCGAACGGGUGAGUAACACGUGAGUAACCUGCCCUUGACUUUGGGAUAACUUCAGGAAACUGGGGCUAAUACCGGAUAGGAGCUCCUGCUGCAUGGUGGGGGUUGGAAAGUUUCGGCGGUUGGGGAUGGACUCGCGGCUUAUCAGCUUGUUGGUGGGGUAGUGGCUUACCAAGGCUUUGACGGGUAGCCGGCCUGAGAGGGUGACCGGCCACAUUGGGACUGAGAUACGGCCCAGACUCCUACGGGAGGCAGCAGUGGGGAAUAUUGCACGAUGGGCGGAAGCCUGAUGCAGCAACGCCGCGUGCGGGAUGACGGCCUUCGGGUUGUAAACCGCUUUCGCCUGUGACGAAGCGUGAGUGACGGUAAUGGGUAAAGAAGCACCGGCUAACUACGUG
rnacentral:rRNA from 1 species